UUUCCGUAGGUGAACCUGCGGAGGGAUUCAUUACCGAGUUUACAACUCCAAACCCCUGUGAACAUACCACUUGUUGCCUCGGCGGAUCAGCCCGCUCCCGGUAAAACGGGACGGCCCGCCAGAGGACCCCUAAACUCUGUUUCUAUAUGUAACUUCUGAGUAAAACUAUAAAUAAAUCAAAACUUUCAACAACGGAUCUCUUGGUUCUGGCAUCGAUGAAGAACGCAGCAAAAUGCGAUAAGUAAUGUGAAUUGCAGAAUUCAGUGAAUCAUCGAAUCUUUGAACGCACAUUGCGCCCGCCAGUAUUCUGGCGGGCAUGCCUGUUCGAGCGUCAUUUCAACCCUCAAGCACAGCUUGGUGUUGGGACUCGCGUUAAUUCGCGUUCCCCAAAUUGAUUGGCGGUCACGUCGAGCUUCCAUAGCGUAGUAGUAAAACCCUCGUUACUGGUAAUCGUCGCGGCCACGCCGUUAAACCCCAACUUCUGAAUGUUGACCUCGGAUCAGGUAGGAAUACCCGCUGAACUUAAGCAUAUCAAUAAGUCGGAGGAA
rnacentral:rRNA from 1 species